GUUAAUCGUGAUGUCAAUAAUAAGGACAGAAUUAUACAUAAAACUAAAUGGUCCAAAAAGUAUGAUUGGAGAUCAUAUGACCGAGUCUUUAGUUCAAUAGUGAUAUAUAAAUUUUAGUUUGGCAUACAGACCUAUUCGGCAAACAAUUAUCAAGCACUAAUCAAACCUAGCAGAAAUAAGAUAAAAAAAAACAAUAAUUGGAGAAUUAGUAUUAAUCUAUCUAGAAAUAUUUCCUAUUCCAUACCUAAAUAAUAUUUUGAGGGAAUAUGUUGUAGAGUCUUAAUUGUUAGGUUCGCUUUCUAGAUUUCUCCAGUAAAUCAAAGCAAUAUUUUAUUUUUAAUUUUACAAACAUGGCUUCCAACUAGGUAAGUUUAUUUGUAAAUUAAUCAAAUCUAAUUAGUUGAUUAUCUCCACUUUAGUAGGAGACAUUCAUAGUUCCUUGGCUAACAGACUGAUAGAUGAAUUUGAUUGAGCUUGCAUCGACCUUAACAACACCCAAAGAUUUUUCAUUUACCUUGAGUUCUACUGAUCCGCCUGAACUUGGCACAAGAACAAAAUUAAUAGAACUGCCCAAAUUAAUACCGGCUGGAAUUUUCCCUCUACCUACAAAGGAUCCAGAUGAUGUUGCGAGCCAUUCUUGCUUCGUAAAUGCAACUUCGAGAACUGGAAGUUUGUAAAUAUUGCUGUAUGUAGAGAUGUAGAAGCUGAAGUAAUCAUCUGGAAUGCUUGAUGGCAAUUCGGCUCUAAUAGUAAGAUUUUUUGUAACUCCAUUAGACAUGCCUACUAAACUAGAGUUAUUACAUGAGCCUGAUGAAGCAAUUGAGCAGAAUCCAGUUUCAGUUGUUGAAUACUCCAAAAACUGUAAUGUUGGAGCGCUUCCAUUACUGUCUGAUGUCAACAUAAACGGAGCAGCGACCAAUAGUGGGAUUUCUAAAACUUUACUUCCAGCAAUGAAAAUUGCAAGUGAUUUUUCUAAAGCAACCAAAUCAAACGAAAUGGUAGAUCCCGUAUUGUAUUGACCAUUCUUGUAAAGUGAAUAUGCUCUUAAUGAAGCUAUGCCACUUUCAAUGGAACAUGAGUCCACACCGAAUCUUAAUGUUGCAAUAUUCUGGAAUGAAGAAUUUGUCAAUUCUAACGAUGCAGAUGGUAAAAGAACGACAGAAACACGGAUAGCAUCGCCUGGUGUCAUGCCACCUUCAAUGAAUGAGUACGAAGCAUUCAAACAACUAGCUCCUUUUUUAAGAAUGCAAACUCCAUUUGCUGAAACCAAAGAAAUGAAAUAAAGUAUGCAAGCAAUGAAUAUCGAGCUCCUUGCACCACUCAUUUUGUUUUAUAUUAAUAACUACCAAUUAUAAUAGAGCUCAAAUUUAUUAUUUGGUGCAAAUAUUUUUGAAAUGAAAGUGAUUUCUUCUUGACUUUAUGCCUAGAAACUGCAUGCGCAAGUCCACGUUAUGUCUAAAACCUGCACCCUGUUUUGGCGCCAGAUUGUAUUUUUUUAAAAUUAUUGCAUUGUACUUCAACAUUCGAAAAUAAUACUUUAUUCCGCUCGCUUUUCACGUCAUUUAUGUUUGAAAUAAUUUGCUUGUAAUUAGAAAUGCCC
rnacentral:antisense_RNA from 1 species